rnacentral:lncRNA from 1 species
GUUAUAGUUGUAAUAUAAUAUAGUAGUAUAACAGUUGUUAAAUGGCCAGUUAUGAUUGCUGCUGCAGUUAUGAUUAUGUAUAAAUAGAUUGCUGUGCUUGAUUAAUACAAUUAUCUUUUGAGUAUAUUUCUUUCAUAUGGUAUCAGUUGAGAAGGAAGGAAAAACGAUUUGUGCUUUCGUGUGUGUAUGAUCGAUUAACUUUCUCUAGUAGAAAGGAUGGAGGAUGAUGGCUUGAGUAACAAUUUGGUGAGUGUUGCGAGAUGCAUAAGGCCGCCUUUGGAGCAUAGUGAAACGUUCAUUUUCUGAUGGUCGCAAAUGGAAGAUCUUCUAAAUCUAUAUGAUCUUACUGAUGUUGUUUCUCCAAAUUUUGUUACACCAGCGACUGUGUUACCCGAAGGUGGGGUGAAUCCGGCUUAUGCAAAAUGGCAGCGUCGAAAUUAGCUCGUUCUUUCUUGGAUCAAGUCGUCAAUUGGAAAAUUUGUUUACCCGUUGGUGAUAAAUGAAAUUUUGGCUUCAAAGGCUUGGAAGAAUCUUGUGGAGAAGCUAUCACCUCGUGUUGAAGUUUAUGCCAAGACGAUCAGAGAUCGGUUGGGGGCAAUAAAGAAAACUGAUGAUAUUACAAUGACUGAGUAUUUGCUAAAAAUCAGAUCAUUAUCGGAUGAUUUAAUUGGGUCAGGCACCCAAAUAACUGACCGGGAAGUAAUUGGGUAUAUUUUAGACGGUUUUCCAGCAGAAUUUGCUGCUUUCUCAACCACGAUCAAUGCUCAGAGGUUUCUCAAUUUCGACGAUGUCUAUCAUCUUCUGAUUUCAGAAGAAAUCAUGGUCAAGCGUCGUAAUACAGUAGCGGCAUUGGCAACAUCUUGAUCAUCAUCGGCUUUUACGGCACAAGCUUCAUCUAGAAAAUACAAUCGAGGUAAAUUUUUUUAAAAAAGAGGAUAUAAUGCAAAUCGUGGUAGAUUCCAACAGGGUUCUGGAGGUCGAUUUCAGAAGGGAUCUCAAAAUCAUGGUGGCAGAGGUGGUUGGUUUCGUGGACAGCCACCACAAUCUGUGAUUCCCAUUACAAAUUGUCAAAUUUGUAAAAAAGAGGGUUAUGCUGCUAGGUUAUGUCCAAAAAGGGAGAAUUUUGCAUAUGUUGCAGGUACCCUUGUGGAUUCGAUGUCAAAUUUAUCUACUGAAGAGAUGGUUGAUGACAAUUGGUGCUUAGACUCCGGGGCUUUUCAUCACAUGAGUCCAGGAAUUGAUCAAUUCUAUGAUGCAUAAUCAUACUCAGGUAUGACUAAAAUAAUUAUUGGUAAUGGUAAAACUCUAAAGAUUACUCAUAUUGGGUCUGUGAUUCUUAAAACUCCUAGUGGUAAUCUUAAAUUAAAAGAUGUUUUAUGUGUUCCAUUACUAAGGAAAAAUUUAAUAUCAAUUCAAUGUUUGAGUAGGGAUUUAAAAUGCAGUUUCGUUCUUAAUGAGCAUGGUUUCUUUGUCAAGGACAAGGAGACGGGGAAGAUUUUUCUGACUGGCAGUAGUGAAAGUGGCCUUUAUCAUCUCCGGCCUGGAUUCAAAUCAAAAGAAGUUGAAGGUUUUGUGACUUUUGUCACCUAUUGCGGAAUUGUGAAGAAUAUUAGUGAUCUAUGGCAUAGUAGGCUAUGCCAUGCUAAUAAUAAUACAAUUAGAAAGAUAUCAAAUAAAUGUAAUUUUAGAUAUGAAAAUCCAGUUUUAUGUGAAACUUAUUCUUUAAAUAAAAUGCACAAGUUACCUUUUCAGAGAAGACAAAAAUAUUGUUCUACCCCUCUUGGUAUAAUUCAUAUGGAUGUUUGGGGUCCUGCUCCAGUAAACUCUAUUAAUGGGUUUAAAUACUAUUUAAUCCUAGUCGAUGAAUGUAGUAGGUAUACUUGGAUCUAUCCAUUAGCUAAUAAAAGUGAUGUGUUUAAGAAUUUUAAAUACUUUCAUAAAAUGAUUGAAAAUAUUUUAAACUCUAGAAUUAAGAUAAUACAAUCAGACUCAGGAGGAGAAUUUUUAAACAAGAACUUUCAAGUAUAUACUAAGGAAAAUGGAAUUGUCCAGAUAUUUUUAUCUCCUUAUACCCCUGAACAAAUGGGUAUAGCAGAGAGGAAACAUAGGCAUAUAAUUAAGACUGUGAGAUGUCUCUUAAGCAAAUCUAAAGUUCCCAAAAUAUAUUGGGUUGAAGCCUGUUUAGUAGUUGUUUUUACUAUAAAUAUGAUGCCAUUAAAGGGGACUGAUGAAAAAUCUCCUUUUGAGGUAUUAUUUGAUAAAGAACCAGAUUACAAUUUUCUAAAAGUAUUUGGUACUCUUUGUUUUCCUCUAUUACCUAAGUAAAGAGACAAAUUUUUUGAAAAAGCAACAAGAUGUUGUUUUAUUGGUUAUGCUCCAAAUCAUGGAGGAUAUAGAUGCCUAAAUCUAGAAAAUAAUCAAGUAAUUAUUUCUAGAAAUGUAAAAUUUCAUGAAAAUGUGUAUCCCUUUCAUGAAAUUAAUAAAUCUUUGAAAAAGAAUGUAAAUUUAGAUUCUAAAGAACAAUUCUUCAAUAUAAUAAAUAUAAAUUCAGAAUUGCUUGGAAAAAGAGUUUUAUCAGGGCAAAAUGAGAGUGGUACUUCUGAAAAUAAUCAGAAUUCUAUUCCUACAAUCCUACCGCUCAUCAGAAUUUUACUCCUAUUUUUUCUGAUAUUAAUAAUACUGAAAAUGAGUUAAAUAAUACUGAAAAUGUGUUAAAUAAUACUGAAAAUGGGUUAAAUAAUACUGAAAAUGAGUUAAAUAAUGCAGUAUUGUCAAAUGACAGUAAUGAGAUAAACAAUGUUGUUCAAGAAGAAAAUAGCAUAAUCAGAAAUGUUGAGAAUAUAGAAGAAAGGCCAAGCAAUGAAAAUACUAGUGAAAGAAUAAAUGAUAUUCCUGCUGAAAGAUUAGGAAGAGCGAAGCGGUUAAAAUCUGCCCCAUUAAAUCUUGUUAGAGAUUAUAAAACAAACUAUCCUUUACCUAGGGCCUUAGUAACUGAAGUAACUAAUUCAGCAUUAAAAGAACCUAGUAACUUUAAAAAUGCCUUAAAAUCUCCAGAAUGGUCCAAGGCUAUGCAAGAGGAAUAUGAAGCACUAGAAUUAAAUAGAACCUGGGAUUUAGUACCUUUUGAUUCAUCUAUGACUCUGGUAGGUUGUAAAUGGGUGUAUAAGGUCAAAAAGAAAGGUGAUGGUUCUAUUGAUAGAUAUAAAGCAAGGCUAGUAGCUCAGAGGUUUAAACAGAUUGAAGGAGUAGAUUUCAAUCUAAUAUACAAUCAUGUAGUUAAAUCUCCUACAAUAAGAAUGGUUCUAUCUAUGGUUGUGUCUAGAGGGUUCAGUUUAAGACAACUAGAUGUAAGAAAUACCUUUUUACAAGGAAAAUUAUCUGAAUUAGUUUUUAUGAAACAACCACCUGGCUAUGAGAGUGAAAAAUAUCCCAAUCAUGUAUGUAGACUUAAAAAAACCAUUUAUGGGCUAAAACAAGCACCUAGGUCAUGAUAUUCUAGGCUAAGUGAAUUCUUAAUAUGCAUAGGGUUUCAGAAUAGUAUGGCUGAUACUUCACUGUUUGUUUGUAAUAGACAGAGUUACAAAAUAUGGAUUCUAGUAUAUGUAAAUGAUUUAAUAGUGACAGGAGACAAUCCUAAAGCUAUAGAAAAUAUCAUUAAAAUGAUUUGCACUAAAUUUAGGUAUAGAGAUUUAGGAAUUUUAAAAUCUUUUCUUGGAAUUGAAGUUACAAAACAAGAAGAUGGAUCUAUUAUGCUCACUCAGGCAAGAUACGCCAUGGAUUUACUUCUAAAAUUCAAUAUGUCCCUUUGUAAACCAUAUAGGUCACCAGCUCCUACUGGAUCCAAGUUAGUGAAAAAUGAAGAAAAAAUCAUAGAUGAUCCUACUCCUUUUAGGAUGUUAGUAGGAUCUCUACAAUAUCUGACCAUGACAAGACCAGACUUAUCAUAUUAUGUAAAUCAAAUAUCACAGUUUUUGCAAAUACCUAGAUCAACUCAUAUGAUUGCUGCAAAGAGGAUUCUUAGAUUUGUCAAAGGUACUCUCAUGCAAGGAAUUCAUUUGACAAAAUCUAAGUCUACAGACUUAGUUGUAUAACAGUUGUUAAAUGAUUAGUUACUGUAGUUAUGAUUAUGUAUAAAUAGAAUGCUGUGCUUGAUUAAUAAAAUUGUCUUUUGAGUUUAUUCCUUUCAUAUAGUCUAGUCUUGUAUCUCUCAAUUAACCCAUCUGACCUUCUCUAAUUUUAAAAAUCCAUUUUGUAUCUCUCAAUUACAUUAACACCUGAUUUGGGGUUUGAUAAAUUUCAGACUUGGGCAAACAGGAGGGCAUACGCGUGUUUGGAGCAAGAACGACGACCAUGGUAACAUGCAUGGAAAGGGUUCCCGUAACCGCCACUGAGGCCGAGGAGAUGAUGGAGGAGGCAUCUUCGCUUAAGGGGCGCAGCUCGACUAGGAAAUUAGUGAGUGAGUAAACAAUUAAUUAGAAUGAGUAUUGCAUGUGGUUGAUAAAAUAAGAUAAGCAUUAGAAUCUUUAGAUAGUCUUGUUAAAACAUGUAUUGAUUAAUCUUUGCAGGUAAUCGGAUUAGCGAAGUCAUUACGGAUGACGAAGCACACUCAUCAACCGAAGCGAUCAAGCUUGACGAUUAGUUGAGAUUAGUGCUUAAUCACAUGUAAUAGUUGAUGUAAUGUUAUAAUACCAUGAGGCUCAAUUGUGAAGGCCCAUGGACCAAUUACAUUGACAAUUUAAUCUUUAAUAUAAAUACUU